rnacentral:rRNA from 1 species
GAUGAACGCUGGCGGCGUGCUUAACACAUGCAAGUCGAACGAACCUUCGGGUUAGUGGCGGACGGGUGAGUAACGCGUGGGAAUCUGCCCUCAGGAGAGGGAUAACGGCUGGAAACGGCCGCUAAUACCCCAUAUGCCGCGAGGUGAAAUGAAUUUCGCCUGAGGAUGAGCCCGCGUCUGAUUAGCUAGUUGGUGGGGUAAAGGCCUACCAAGGCGACGAUCAGUAGCUGGUCUGAGAGGAUGAUCAGCCACACUGGGACUGAGACACGGCCCAGACUCCUACGGGAGGCAGCAGUGGGGAAUUUUCCGCAAUGGGCGAAAGCCUGACGGAGCAACGCCGCGUGAGGGAUGAAGGCCUCUGGGCUGUAAACCUCUUUUCUCAAGGAAGAAGAUCUGACGGUACUUGAGGAAUAAGCCACGGCUAAUUCCGUGCCAGCAGCCGCCGUAA